rnacentral:rRNA from 1 species
AUUGAACGCUGGCGGCAUGCCUUACACAUGCAAGUCGAACGGCAGCGGGGGAGAAGCUUGCUUUUCCUGCCGGCGAGUGGCGAACGGGUGAGUAAUACAUCGGAACGUGCCCUGUAGUGGGGGAUAACUAGUCGAAAGACUAGCUAAUACCGCAUACGACCUGAGGGUGAAAGUGGGGGACCGCAAGGCCUCACGCAGCAGGAGCGGCCGAUGUCUGAUUAGCUAGUUGGUGGGGUAAAGGCCCACCAAGGCGACGAUCAGUAGCUGGUCUGAGAGGACGAUCAGCCACACUGGGACUGAGACACGGCCCAGACUCCUACGGGAGGCAGCAGUGGGGAAUUUUGGACAAUGGGGGCAACCCUGAUCCAGCAAUGCCGCGUGUGUGAAGAAGGCCUUCGGGUUGUAAAGCACUUUUGUCCGGAAAGAAAUCGCGCUGGUUAAUACCUGGCGUGGAUGACGGUACCGGAAGAAUAAGCACCGGCUAACUACGUGCCAGCCGCCGCAGUAA